GGACUAUUUUUGUAGCUGCUGUGCCCGCCCACGGAUGACUCUUUCACAAACAGGGCUUUAUCAAGGUGUGUCUGUUGGUCUUCCUAAGGUUCAGAGCAGCAAACGGCUCUCUGGAUCCAAUGGGGGCUGGGCAGCCGGACAAGAGGUUUCUCCUGGGACCACGAACAUGGAUAGUACCUAGGUAGAGACACUGACACACAGAGAAGAAGCCCACCCGCUGGUUGAUAGAUAGACGGUUUGAUGCAGAGGUUGUUGUUGUUGACUGUGGGAGCAGGCCUUGGUGAUGAGAUGGGUUGGUGGCUGUCUGGAGCAAUGGAGAGGCUGGACAGUGAACGCGCGCCUUUGAUUGGGUAAGCAGCCUCACUUGUCGCUGCGAGGUGGAGAAUCUUCGGAGUAACCUCUGAGUGACCGCAACUGGCAGCGCAAUUGUACGGCAGCACAAGCAGAGUAGUUGAUUACAGGCACUCGCUCUAUCCAAAGGCUAUUGUUCUAUACUCGAAGGCGGAAAGUGGAUUAACACCCGGCCGGGAUCCUCACUCCCCUUUUAUUUUUUUGGGAAUCUUCAAGCAAAUUAUUUAUUUGACUAGCUAUCAGGAACGAAACAGUGUAUUGCUGUGGAUCUCCUAGAACUCAAAAACGUUACGGUAAGAAAGUGUCAUUGGUUUUCUUCUUUUCUUUUCUCUGCUUUCCGCCCACCAAGGCAAUCAAAUGUCAGAUUAAUCAUGUAGUCAUUAUUCAUCACCCCACAGCAACCAAACAAAGCAUAAUACGUCAAUCAAUAAUGCAGCGGCAAGUCCAGUUUUUGGCCUCCUUCUCUACCCCGACCAUAUUCAAGCUGUGACAAAUGUCAAUUCCUGUCAAUUUGCUACAAAAAACUUUUUUUCUUUCCUGGUGUUGGGCAGGGGCUUUUUGAUUUUCUAUCCAAAGGGACGGCUCUCCUUCCGGUACCUAUCCAUCAAUUCUUUUUCCUGUUCACGCAGGUGCUGGAAAAAAGCUCGUACGUCCAACGGAUCGGGGUCUUUGCGGGGUGUUUUGCGAUACCAUUUGUCGCCCGUGGUUUUGCUAGCACCUCUCGUAACGGCAGAAUUCAAAACGUCGCUUGCUGCUUUGGGAUUGCGGUUAUCUGGAUCGUUAGCCCCAUCAAAACGGGGUACGAAUCCGUAGGCAUUCACGUUAUACGAUGCCGUCGAAGUAGUUGCCUUUGGCUGCAAACCACCGUGAUGCGCCACUUGAUUCCAAGGACUGAAUGGAAACUCAUUGCUGCGUGGAGCAGUCUGUCUCGUUUCUUUGUCUCCAGCGGCUGCGUUCGAGGACACCGAAAGAUGCUGUUCCGGUACAGCUGUUUUGCCAGCGGGUGUGGGAGACAUGAUCUUACUAUCCUUACACAAAUUGUCAAGGCUACCACCAUCGUAGGUUAGCCGUUUCUCUUCGCUUGCCCCAGCGUUUUCGGUUCUGGUUCUAUUUCGACCAGAAUAAAUGUUGCUGAAUUCAGUCAGUAUAAGCUACCCGAUGAAGAGAGAUCGAUUUGACAAGAUGUCGUCGUAUUAUGUACUCACUUAUCAUCAUCUUUAUGUUUACUCCCAUUGUUGUCCUGUCCCGUAGUUCUGUGCAACGAAGUGUCCCAAUGCUUUUCGGGUGUUCGGAUGGUGGAGUUUUGGUUCCUGCUUAUCAUAGUCAACAUUUAUUAUGAUUGAUUCUUUAUUGCCCGAAAAGCUUACAUGCUGUCUUGGGAGGUAACUUGUGAACCAGUUGUUACGGAGCGUGUGUGGUUUGACUUGUCACUGGAACUCGCAAUUGUGGUUCCUCUGUUGAAUGGAACGAUGGUGAGCUGGUUCUCACCAGGAUCAAUACAUGGUGACUCUUUUCCCCGUCGCAUCACAAUAUCUUGUCUUUUCGCGAUACCAGAAAUAUUCAACUUUCUUGCCACGAUUGCCAGCUCCUCGAUCAGUGGUCCUAAUGGUUCACCUCGACUAGCUGCUGUCUCGAUAUCAUGAUAGACACGAGCAAUUUCAGCUGGAGAGCAUUCCAUAAUUUCUUCGCUGGCGCUCCUGAACAUGUUUCCCCUCACAUCCAAAUGAAUUCUACUUGGCUGCUCGUCUGAAAGGUUUGUAUAAUUGUUGUCAGCUAUUGAGUUGGCAUUUCCUAUCCACUCAGUUGCUGUAUUAUUGCCAUUAUUGAAUCCAAUUGAAGCCUGGCAGUCUUCAAAACUGGUCGCAGGUCCAGCAGAUGUAAAGGGUAGCAUUGUUUGCCCCAAAAAUUCAUUGUUGAAUGAGUCUGCCAUUGGUAUCCCCGGUCCAGACAUCAAGCACCCAGUUGGAUUCAAAUUCCCUAAAAAUACAUUGUUUGUGUACUGUUCAAUGUGAGAGGGCCAAGAAAUUGCCUGACCGUGGGCCUGAUAACCAAAAGGCUGACCCUCACCUGUGGGUUGAGAGACCAGGUAUUGGAUUGCUGCCUCAAUUUGCUCCUUCGUUGAUCUUGCAGUGUCAAGUUUCAUGACAAGUUCUACCCGCUGGUCAAUAAGGAUUUUCUUCGCAACUGGAUCAAUAUCCCAGGAGUGUAUUGCAAGGCCUGCCGAUGACACUACCAAGUUUGAAGCUUGUGCGUGCUGGAUCAUGGAUUGAUUGAUCGGGAUUGCUGAGAUUGGGAACAGCUGCAUAGGAGCAGACAUCAUUAUGCUUGAUUGGUCGGCGGGGUACAUACCGAGAAUUGCACCGUGUGGCGAUGUAUAUGCCAUUGGGAAUGAUUGGCCCGUUGA
rnacentral:sRNA from 2 species